rnacentral:rRNA from 1 species
GAUGAACGCUGGCGGCGUGCCUAAUACAUGCAAGUAGAACGCUGAAGCUUGGUGCUUGCACCGAGCGGAUGAGUUGCGAACGGGUGAGUAACGCGUAGGUAACCUGCCUCUUAGCGGGGGAUAACUAUUGGAAACGAUAGCUAAUACCGCAUAAAAGUCGACAUCGCAUGAUGUUGACUUGAAAGGUGCAAAUGUAUCACUAAGAGAUGGACCUGCGUUGUAUUAGCUAGUUGGUGAGGUAACGGCUCACCAAGGCGACGAUACAUAGCCUACCUGAGAGGGUGAUCGGCCACACUGGGACUGAGACACGGCCCAGACUCCUACGGGAGGCAGCAGUAGGGAAUCUUCGGCAAUGGGGGCAACCCUGACCGAGCAACGCCGCGUGAGUGAAGAAGGUUUCGGAUCGUAAAGCUCUGUUGUUAGAGAAGAACGUGUGUGAGAGUGGAAAGUUCACGCUGUGACGGUAACUUACCAUAAAGGGACGGUUAACUACGUGCCAGCAGCCUCGGUUAUACGUAGUCCCGAGCGUUAUCCGGAUUUAUUGGGCGUAAAGCGAGCGCAGGCUGUUGAUUAUUCUGAAUUGAUGGCUGUUGGUUAACCAUUGUACGCUGUUAAGCUGGUUAUGUUUGAUUGCGGAAGGGGAGUGUGUGAUUUCGUGGGGGCGUGUGAAAUUGUGUGGAUGUUGGGGGAACCCCGGUGUUGUAAGUGUGCUCUCUGGUCUUGACGUAUGCUGAUGUUUGUGGCUGGGUGAGCGUUCUGGUGUUUCUCUUGUGGUUGUGAAUGGUGAUGCUGUUGGGUGUUUUUGGGUAGCUAGUCUGUGGGUUGGUUGUGUGUGUGUUGUCUUUUUUGUUUUUUCUUUGUUAUGUUUGUAGUUGUGGGUUGGGGUUUCUU